rnacentral:rRNA from 1 species
GACCAACGCUGGCGGCAUGCCUAACACAUGCAAGUCGAACGAAGGCUUCGGCCUUAGUGGCGCACGGGUGAGUAACGCGUGGGAAACUGCCUAUUGGUGGGGAAUAACGACGGGAAACUGUCGCUAAUACCGCAUAAGCCCUUCGGGGGAAAGAUUUAUCGCCGAUAGAUGUGCCCGCGUCCGAUUAGCUAGUUGGUGAGGUAAUGGCUCACCAAGGCGACGAUCGGUAGCUGGUCUGAGAGGAUGAUCAGCCACACUGGGACUGAGACACGGCCCAGACUCCUACGGGAGGCAGCAGUGGGGAAUAUUGGACAAUGGGCGAAAGCCUGAUCCAGCAAUGCCGCGUGAGUGAUGAAGGCCUUAGGGUUGUAAAGCUCUUUCGGGUGGGACGAUGAUGACGGUACCACCAGAAGAAGCCCCGGCUAACUUCGUGCCAGCCGCCGCAGUAA